rnacentral:lncRNA from 1 species
GAUUUAGAUCCGCAUUAACUGCAAACAAAUAAGGUCUUAGAGUAGAAAUGAUGAUAACAAAUUCAUUAUAUUAAAAUCUUCUCAUGAAGGGGUAAUCAUUGUGUAAUGAGGUCCUUUCAUAAAAUUGUUUUUGAUGAAUGAAUGAAUAAAUUAAUUCGACGUCCAAGUGCCGACAACGAAUUAUGGUGAUAUUUUCUUGUUGGGCCAAAAGUUUUAGAAGGCAUAUAGAUUCGUCAGUUUGGCACAAUGAAUACACCUAAAUGAGUUGAUAGUAAAUAUUUGUUUGAGUUUCGAUGUCUAAGAGUUAUAACUCUUAUUAAGAUAGAAUUAUAUAAAGUGGUUAAUAUUUAGAUUUGAAGACAAGGAACGUCUUCUCCUAGAGAAACAAGAAUGGGAAAAAAAGAAGAAGAUUGAAGAUAUUUUUGUUGAAAUGGACAUGUAUGUCUUGCAACCACAUAUUGGCUUUACGAAUCCAUCAGUUUUGUUGCUGCAGAGUGGAUGUCACAAAUUGGACACCUUUGCUUAUUUAUUGUUCAUAUGUCCUAUGAAGAACUUUUCUUUUCAAAUAUUUUGUAAACACUGCUCUACAAUUUAUUUUUGGUCCAUCUUUAAUUCUUGAACUUAUGUGUCAUCUGCAUUCUUAGUGAACUCGAGGGAUGUACCCAAGAAAAUAUUGUGGAGAGUCGCCAUUACUCUUGGAUGUUGACACCUUCAGGGUUUCAUAUUCUUCUACAGCCACAAUUUUCCUAUUUAUGGAGAAGGAGUUUUGAGUGAUUUAGUUUCCAAAGCUACAAAGUGACAAUGUAUUCUCAUUAAUGUGGAGACUUUGAUUUCAUGUAGAGGAAUUGUAACACCCUGUAGCCAAAAGAGACCAAAAAUUAGUUUUUCAGAAAAAUCUACAGGUGCUACCAACAAUGGCAUCGACGGACCGUAGCCGGAACCACGGUCCGGCCUGCACAACCAUCGAUGGGAUCAGAAACUCCCAAAAAUUUCAUCCUAGAAACAUUUGUUAAGUCUUGGACGACGGACGGACUUACGGUCCGUAGGUCAAACGAUGGUCCGUAGUCCAUGACCAUCGAUCAAGACUCCCUUCAACCACUCUCUGACAAGAGCUAUGGAUGACCAGCUAGUUCGUAGGUGGACCUACGGUCCGCAGGUCUGACCGUAGGUGGAAAAUUUGCAGCCAGUUAAGGGGAAAUGCAGUUGGGUCAACUUAAAAUGAUUAUAAC